rnacentral:rRNA from 1 species
GAUGAACGCUGGCGGCGUGCCUAAUACAUGCAAGUCGAGCGAAUGGAUUAAGAGCUUGCUCUUAUGAAGUUAGCGGCGGACGGGUGAGUAACACGUGGGUAACCUGCCCAUAAGACUGGGAUAACUCCGGGAAACCGGGGCUAAUACCGGAUAACAUUUUGAACCGCAUGGUUCGAAAUUGAAAGGCGGCUUCGGCUGUCACUUAUGGAUGGACCCGCGUCGCAUGAGCUAGUUGGUGAGGUAACGGCUCACCAAGGCAAUGAUGCGUAGCCGACCUGAGAGGGUGAUCGGCCACACUGGGGCUGAGAAACGGCCCGGACUCCUACGGGAGGCAGCAGUAGUGAAUCUUCCGCAAUGGACGAAAGUCUGACGGAGCAACGCCGCGUGAGUGAUGAAGGCUUUCGGGUCGUAAAACUCUGUUGUUAGGGAAGAACAAGUGCUAGUUGAAUAAGCUAGCACCUUGACGGUACCUAACCAGAAAGCCACGGCUAACUACGUGCCAGCCGCCGCGGUAA